CCUACGGGAGGCAGCAGUCGAGAAUCAUUCACAAUGGGGGAAACCCUGAUGGUGCGACGCCGCGUGGGGGAAUGAAGGUCUUCGGAUUGUAAACCCCUGUCAUGUGGGAGCAAAUUAAAAAGAUAGUACCACAAGAGGAAGAGACGGCUAACUCUGUGCCAGCAGCCGCGGUAAUACAGAGGUCUCAAGCGUUGUUCGGAAUCACUGGGCGUAAAGCGUGCGUAGGCUGUUUCGUAAGUCGUGUGUGAAAGGCGCGGGCUCAACCCGCGGACGGCACAUGAUACUGCGAGACUAGAGUGAUGGAGGGGGAACCGGAAUUCUCGGUGUAGCAGUGAAAUGCGUAGAUAUCGAGAGGAACACUCGUGGCGAAGGCGGGUUCCUGGACAUUAACUGACGCUGAGGCACGAAGGCCAGGGGAGCGAAAGGGAUUAGAUACCCCUGUAGUC
rnacentral:rRNA from 1 species